rnacentral:rRNA from 1 species
CGGGACGGGUGAGUAAUGUCUGGGAAACUGCCUGAUGGAGGGGGAUAACUACUGGAAACGGUAGCUAAUACCGCAUAACGUCGCAAGACCAAAGAGGGGGACCUUCGGGCCUCUUGCCAUCGGAUGUGCCCAGAUGGGAUUAGCUAGUAGGUGGGGUAACGGCUCACCUAGGCGACGAUCCCUAGCUGGUCUGAGAGGAUGACCAGCCACACUGGAACUGAGGCACGGUCCAG